UGUGAGUUGUGUUGAUUAGUGGCACGUGGUAUGAUGAUUGCACCCAGUUCAGAAGGGAGCCAGUCAGAGGCACUCACUGAGCUCAGAACACUUGUCUCUAUUGUGAAUGUUCCUGUUAACAUUUCGUAAACUCUUAGGACAGCUUUUCAGCCUUUAGUUGACCAUUGAAAUGGUCAACCUGCUUGCAUUUGUAGAAGAUGUUUUAAGCAAUACUUAUGAAGCAAACAUCAUUGAGCAUCUAUUGUAUGCCGGACACCACGUAGAGGCCUGGAAAAGCAAAGUGGCAUGAAGAUCAGAGGAAACAGCUUCAGAGGACAGGCACUUCUUGCAGGAGCAGAUGGAUGUUGCAGUACAUGUACUAUUGAAGGCAGGAGGAGAAGGGGAAGACAGAGGAUGAGGUGG